rnacentral:lncRNA from 1 species
AAAAAGAGUAGAUCUUUAAAGAGAAAACCCAGGGCUGGACUGCCAAAUAGGUGACAGAAAAGUGAUCCAAUUCUACCCCAUAGGGACUUAGGUCACACUCCUUCAUCUGGAGCCCAUAUAGAGCCUCAAAAUCCUUCUCUACCCACUCCUUUGGGCAACUUCUGCAAAACGCUCUGAAUCAGCCCCUGAGCUGAACCUUCUUUGCCAUCCCUGAAGUCUUAUUUUUCAGCCAUCGUCUUGGACACUGUGAUGAUGUUCACAAAGAUUGGGAAGCUUUUCCUGCAAAUCUUCACCCGGAUCUGGGAAAAUUCUGCUCUCUGCCUGAGGGAUGCAGAUGAGGACAGUCUUGCUCCUUUGUGUGGCUUUGGAGGGUGUACAGGAUACAGAGAGAACGUGACUUGAAGAAAUGACACUGUCUGUGAGUCCAGUUUAUUUGUGGACUCCUGAGGCUUGAGUAUAACCAGAGUAAAAUAAACGUAUAUAUGGAAACUGUAUCUGUGAAUUGCAU